rnacentral:tRNA from 1 species
CAUUAAGUAGCUUAAAUAAAGCUUUAGACUCUUAAUCUAAUUAUGAACUACAGUUCCUUAAUGG